UAGAUAUCAGGUUACGAGAAA
rnacentral:piRNA from 1 species